rnacentral:misc_RNA from 1 species
GAUGAAGAACGUAGUGAAAUGCGAUAAGUAAUAUGAAUUGCAGAUAUUCGUGAAUCAUCGAAUCUUUGAACGCACAUUGCGCCCUUUGGUAUUCCAAAGGGCAUGCCUGUUUGAGCGUCAUUUCUCCCUCAAACCCUCGGGUUUGGUGUUGAGCGAUACGCUGGGUUUGCUUGAAAGAAAGGCGGAGUAUAAACUAAUGGAUAGGUUUUUUCCACUCAUUGGUACAAACUCCAAAACUUCUUCCAAAUUCGACCUCAAAUCAGGUAGGACUACCCGCUGAACUUAAGCAUAUCAAUAAGCGGAGGA